rnacentral:tRNA from 1 species
GCGCCCGUAGCUCAGCCGGAUAGAGCAACGGCCUUCUAAGCCGUGGGUCGCAGGUUCGAAUCCUGCCGGGCGCGCCA